rnacentral:rRNA from 1 species
GGCGGACGGGUGAGUAACGCGUAAAGAACUUGCCCUUUAGACUGGGAUAACAGAGGGAAACUUCUGAUAAUACUGGAUAAGUUAGUAUAUCGCAUGAUAUACAAAUGAAAGCUACGGCACUAAAGGAGAGCUUUGCGUCCUAUUAGCUAGUUGGUAAGGUAAGAGCUUACCAAGGCGAUGAUAGGUAGCCGGCCUGAGAGGGCGGACGGCCACAAGGGGACUGAGAUACGGCCCUUACUCCUACGGGAGGCAGCAGAA